CUACGGGAGGCAGCAGUAAGGAAUAUUGGACAAUGCUCGCAAGAGUGAUCCAGCCAUGCCGCGUGCAGGAAGAAUGCCCUAUGGGUAGUAAACUGCUUUUGAACUAGAGAAAACCCCAGUACGUGUACUGGGCUGAUAGUAUAGUUAGAAUAAGCAUCGGCUAACUUCGUGCCAGCAGCCGCGGUAAGACGAAGGAUGCAAGCGUUAUCCGGAUUCAUUGGGUUUAAAGGGAGCGUAGGUGGACUGAUAAGUCAGUGGUGAAAUCUCCGAGCUUAACUCGGAAAUUGCCAUUGAUACUGUUGGUCUUGAGUACAGUUGCUGUGGGCGGAAUAUGACAUGUAGUGGUGAAAUACCAUAGAGAUGU
rnacentral:rRNA from 1 species